rnacentral:lncRNA from 1 species
UUCUGUAAUUUAUGUAUUCUAUCGGUAAGAACUCUGAGAUGUGAUUUGAUAAUUGUUCUAGGCAACAUUGGUUCGUGAUGUCUCGAUAUGCAUGCUAGGGAGUCGUAGUGCGGACCUCAGGUGAGUGGGUCUUUUCCUUUCUAUCAUGUAUAUUAUAUAUAUAUGAUUGAUAAUUCCACAAACGUUUUUAAAUUGAUUUAUGCAUAUUACCUACAUAUAAUUACUGUGAAUGCCUUGAAGUACUAGUGUGAACUACGAAUGGCUUGAUCCCUAUUUAUGAUAUGUAGACAGUCUAACAAGACGUUAGAUGUAGCCAUACAAUAAAUGAGACUAAAUAAUUGAGACAAAAGCCCUGUUUGGGGAAUUGAGCAAUGUGAAGGAGAUUGGUGGAAAAUGUGAGAUUUAACCUUAUGAUUUGGUGGUUAAAUGUUGUUCAUAAAUCAAUGUGUGAAGAAUCAAGAAAUUGAAGGAAGGAAACAUAAGUAAUGAUAGUUAAUUAAACUAGUGUCUAAUUGGACUUAUCACCUAUAAUUAUUCCCGAAAAUAAAUAGUUUAGGAGUAGGGCGUUAUAGCUUAUGCAUUUUAUGCCAUAUUAUAUAUAUAUAUAUAUAUAUAUAUGUAUGUAUGUAUGUAUAUAAUUGGAAAUUCUAUGACACUGUUGAGUAUUAGAUUGCAUCAUGGUAUAUCCAUAUGUAUAUUACUUGCACAUAAUUAUUGUGAACGGUUUGAAGUGCGAAGGUGAACACAGGAGACCCAGGUAAGUUCACGUGAGU